UGGUUCUUUCCCCAGGUGAUCAAUCAGUGGUUCAGGCUGUGACUCAACAGUUCUCAUACAGUAUGUAAUAACCCUGUCUUACAUUAAAGGGGGCAGGUGGUGGUGUAAGGGGAGUUUUUCUUAGUUCUAUCUUGCUUUCUGUCUCAGGCUUGUUGUACACCUCUGUGAUGUACUUGUCGCAUCUCCAACAAGGAGUUAAUUUGUUCAUAUAAAUUAUGUGUAAAGUGCUAUAGAAAGUCAUGCUUGCAGAAUCUAUGGACCUGUGGGACUCAGUAGUCUAUGUUGUUUGUACAGUGACCAUGUACAAAACUAACUGCUGUCCGCAACUCUCACAAUGGCUCUAUGCAGAGAUCAGUUUUCUACAGGAUAAUGUAGUUUUUCAGCUUAAGUUAUUUAAUACAACAGUUCAGUUCAUAUAUGUCAAAAUUCAACUCAGUAUGUAGGGGGCAGUAGGUAUUAUAAAAUAUCUACUAGAUGACAUGAAUCAGCUGAUGAAAUUGUAGAAGCUUAUUAUAUGUGCAUAUGCAGUCCCAUUCAACUGAAAGUCUGUCAAGAAAUAAAAAAUAGUUCCUUAUUUUUGAUUAUACUUAUUCAUUCUAUUAAUCUCCAUUAAUAUUCAGAAUAUUACUGUCAAGUGGGGUGAGAAUAACAUGCUAAUAAUGAUCUCCAGUUCCUUACUGAAUUUAAAUAGAUUGAUAUCUGUCAAGAAAUCAUGCUCAUCAUCACAUCCCGCUUGUAAUCUGUGACAUAUCUCUACCUAUUUUGUCAGCGUUCAAACACUAUACUGACAGGUGCUGUUUAGGUCCUGAAUAUUGAAAUACUAAAGCUUUCUAUAAAUAUAACCAACAUUAACAUCAAAGUCUUAACUCUAGGUGGCAGUUUAUUCCAUCUUUUUGUUUUUUUUAAAGUAGGUUUAGCAGCAGCAUAUUGAUUAGCAAGCUUUUCUAAAUGCAACAUUAUAAAUAUUGAAAGAAAAAGCAAGUAAAGCUAUGAUAGCAGCUAUCCUGAUUUUUAUGUAUACUUUCCUAGAACCAUUGAGUGACUGAGUUUUAGAGAGUAUGACUCACAAAUUUUAGCUUCCAACUGAUUGCGAUUAUCAUUGAAUCUGAGAUGAUUGGGAAUGGCCUGAUCCUAAAAACUCUCUGAAGCUUCUUUUACCAAAUGUGGUGUCAAACCUGUUGGUAGCUACUUAAUAAUUUGUCUCCAAUAUUCUUAUUGUUGCCAUGCCAAGUACUUGAUGUUGGUUGUUGCUCCUGAGCAGCCCACAGCUGUUUUUGCAGCCUUACGCUGAGACUUUUGCUGUUGCAAUACAACCCUUCUGCAAGACAUUUGCACCAACAUUGUGCAUUCACAGCAAGCUAACUUUUUCUAUUUACGCUUGCUGAACUGCGUAAAACUACUGCUUCUUUAAGGAUAUAACCUCCCCAACUGCUUUCGAAAUAAGUCAGACACAAGACGGAGUAUUCAUAAAGAAUUAAAUAGGGGUGAAAGAAGAAUCAACAAGCAGUGGUGUAGUAAUGCUGUGUUUGUCCCACGUGCAGUUAAACCAGUGUAGUUCUCCAGGAACUCUGAUCAGAGCUGUUUUAUUGAAGCUUGACAGCCGUAUAAUGUGGGAAAGUAGAUAACUUUUAGAGCAUGUAGGAGUGAUUCAAUAAGUAAGCACUCUGAAAAGUUAUUGGCAAAUUCCUCAGUCACUAGAAUUGAAAAAGAUGAUAGAUUUUCAGCACAAUUUUGGGUAUUUCAAUUUUGCUCUCUGCCUUUUGACUGUGAGGGGCAAUUGUGAGCAUUCAUCAUUUAACAGGCUUCAGAGUAUUCCUGGUAAGAAAUGCUAAUACUCAGACGCAGUAGAUGAUAGCUAUACUCAGUUUUUUUCUGGAGCUUGAGUUCACUGCAGAUAUUACUGCUUGAAGUUAGAUUUUUAAGGAGUUAAUCAAUUUGGGCUGCACAAUUGAAUUAAAUCAUUGAAGGCCUGUACAAAGCCAAGAAUAUUCUAUUCUGAGCUCACAGCCUUUAACAUAACUCGGUAUGCUUAAGUCAGUCUCAGAGGCUUGCCACCAAUCUGGUUUUGUAGAAGCACUGGUGGGCUGAUGAUUUUAAAGAGGACAUUUUCAUGUUAAGAAGAGAAUCAUAACACCAUAAUGUUCAGGUUGGAAGGGAAGAUCUCUGGGAGGUUCUAGUCCCAGCUGCUCUGCUUUGAGCAGGAGUUAGGAGUCGGACUGGGUUAUUCAAAUCUCUGCCAAGAGGUUCAUUUUGUAGGAUGAUGACUGUUGUAUUACGGAUGCGAAGAAAGCCAAGGGAGAGGAAGGCACAUCCUUCACAUUGGCAGGAAGUUAUUUCUGAAACUGACAUAAUACCUUGUAAUUGCUAGAGUCAGUAGGCAGUAUUGAGUGUUACUUACAAGGAAAAAAUGUUAGCCUUAUUAACAGGCAUAUACUUCAACAGAAUUCUGAAGUUUCAUGUGAUGCACCGUGACACUUGAGGCAUAAACAUUUGACAGGCAGCAAGAACAAGGACCACUGUUUGAACCAUAUUUUUUUCUAGUUGGAAAAUCUAAAAUGUAAAGCUGAGAAUUUCACUACAGACCUCCUUUGCAAAACCAUGCACAUUGGAAAAGUUCAGUAGAAGAAAUAUAGACAGGUAAGAAGGUUCAGAGAGAAGGCAUAACCUGUCAGAAACAAAUCUCCAGCAGUUACUGUGGAUGGACUAGGCUAUGAUCAGUCUGCUAAGCAAGAUGAAUGAAGACAUGAACUAACAUAAAAUGUAAGCAAAGUGGACACAAAGUGUUUUGUGGCACAACUAAGAUCAUCUCAGAUGGUCUGAUAUUCUCUUCUAGAUAGAAAAUAAAUAAAGAAAGAAAAAGUUAGUGAGUGCUUUGGACCUUCUUUGCUACAGAGGGAGGGAAUUGAAUACAGCAUGGUGUGUUGUCAAGCACUAAGCAUUUGGUAAGAGGAAAAUAUAUAGAUCAGCUUGGACAAUUCCUUUGUGUGCAGUUAUAGAUUAUCAACCAUUACUUUCACAGAAAUUACAUAUAAACAGGCAAAAUCUUAUUAUGGUUCACCAAAGGGAAUAAUCUAAAUACCUGAGGGAAAAAGAAGAAAUAAAUAGUACAGAGCUUAGAAAGACAAGAAAUAGGGCUAAAAGAAAACAUUUAAUGUUAGGUUGAGGAGGAUACUUAAAAAGGAGAGACUAGAGAAGGAGUUAAAUAUACAAAGAAGGAAACUGUAUGUGCUUUUUUUAUGUUGCCUUUUGUUGAUUCGGUAACAAGAAAACCUAUCCUGCUGUUAUCAAUGACAGUGAAAAAAGUUCAGUGGCACCAGCUGUGUCCGGAUCAGGCUCACUAACUGCAGCACCUGUAAGUGAGGUGGGAACAGAUGCGUGUGCUCUAUCUAACCCGUGUGCAGGGUGUACCAUAUGCUAGCUGUUUGGUUUAGAGUUAAUUGGAAAAUGUCCCCAGGUUAGACCUAAAUGUCAUUGUUGUGCUAACUAUUCUCCUUGUGCAAUGUUUCCCACCUGCUGGAGUGUUUACUGUUGAUGCUAAAGAUCUCAAUUGAUGUUUCCUAUGAGCCUAGGUGAGUGUGGAUAAUUUUAGGUGUUUGAUUACUGGGACUCUAUAUCAUAUCUGAGUACUCAGAAUAUUAUAUGAAGAUAAGCGGAGCUUUGUUGGGUGACUGGCAAAACACCAGCACCACUUUACUUGUAGGCAGGCUAGCAAAAAGUUUUUUAAUCUGACAGUAUCUAAUUUAAAGAAAAAAUAUUUGCAUAAAAUGUGGAAUGUCAACAUUUUCAGGCAGACUUCUUUGAACAUCAAGAUAUAUGUGAUAGUUCCUAAGUUGGAAAGGACUUCUGUAUUCUGUGUUUAUAGAAAUGAAGCAUUUCAACUGACACUGUAGAAGUUUGCCACAGGAAGUUUGAGAGACACUUGCCUCACACAUCCCACAAAUUAUAGGCUACUUUUGGGACUUAUUCAGACCUGGUUCACUUUGAAUGAUGUUUAAUAUUGCUAAAAACAGCAAAAUAUUUGAAGUUAAAUGCUGCUUUCAGAAGUGACAAAAUAUUUAAGAGUUAGCUGAGAGUCUAAAAAACUAUGUCACCAUCCCCAUUGCUAUUCCAUCUAUUUCUCUUACACAUCAUGGUUUUUGCUUGUAUGUAACGGAAAUACUAAGUCAUGUCUUGAACCAGUGAUUGAGCACCUGGUGGGAAGGCAGGGCCAACAAGGGCCCAGCAAUGCAUCUGAGUGACUGGAAGGGGUGAAGCCAGGAUCGAUCCCUUCCCAGGCCUCAUUUAAGAAUUGGCAAUGGAGGCAAGGGUAUCUCUUUGUAGAUCCUUUUGCACCUGAGGUCUUCUAAAGGUAAGUACUUUUCUCACUUUAUGUAAGAAACUCUGCAGAUAACCAUUAUAAUCCUUAUAAUUCAGGCACGUAAUCUAAGUGCUUUAAAUAAGGGUAAUUUCUAAUGACUUUGUGCAGUAAUGUAUGCUUUCAUUUUAAUGAAUACUCCUUUUGAAAAAGGUCUAGUAGAACUGUACUCAACCUAAAUGAACUAGUGGAACACUCACACCAAGUUGAUGCAGUAAGAACAUAAAAUCUUACCUAAUCUUUUGUGUUUCUAUAACUGUUAGCUAUAUAUCUGCCUUCACUAAAUUCUGUACAAUGAGGAUUUGAUGCCUGCAUUCUGGUAGAUCUGUGGAAUAUCCUUUAUUCUCCCAAAAAUUUCCUAUGGAAUUCAGUCCAUUACAGAAUAUACUUAUUUAUUAUCUAAUCACUCUGAAAGUUCUCUCCCCUACAGUAGAUGGGUACGUGUCUUACUAUCCAGAGUGAAACUGUAGACCAUGAUGUGGUAAGCUUUACUGAUACAAAAGCAACUGAGAUCCACGUGAUAUGUUGCCCUGCAGGAGAUAACAUUGUGCAGACACCUGAAGAGUGAGCAAACUGUGUCACUACUUAAGUUCUUUAGAAUGCAAUUAAAUGAAAUGUUUCUCAAAGAAGACAGUUAAAGGAAAAGACAUCCUCCACGAGAUGAGGUCCUUCCAAAAACUCAUCCUAACAAGCUCUGCUUUCCUGCUUUUUUCUUCUCUUAAUACAAUUCAAAUCAAGGCAGGCUGUACAAUCUGCUUUUGUCAUUAAUGCUUUAUGUGCUAUCCAGUUUUCUCUUCCAAAUCCUAUUAUUUUCAUUAUAACCAACUAAACUGUCUGACAGUAAGAAUGUUAAGCUCAAUCACAGAGGCUCUUGCAUUGGUGCAAUUGGGUCCCAUUACAAAAUGGGAGGCAUCUCAGGGUUGGCAAGUUCAGUUUCAGUGCUUUUUGAAGACCUUCAUAUGGUAUAUAACACUUCUGAGUUCACUGAUCUCUCUGGUUUUGUUCUCUUAUUUCUGUCAUGAAAAUACCCAAAUCCUGAACUUCUGGCUCAGAAGGAAUUCAUUACUAAGACUUCUUCCAUCUCUUAUCCUCAAUUUAAUUAGCUCCCUUAGAUGAAUGCCCUCUCAUACAGGUAUCUACACUGUCAUCUCAUCUUUUUCCUCCAAAAGAUAUGCUCUAAGAAAGACUGUGGACCAAUUCAGACCACUGAAUGCAAGUUCGAAGUGCUGUCUUUUCAGUUUUGGCAGAAAUAAUUCAAAGCAUGUGAAGCUCCACAUCAUGUGAGAAACACUAUCGUAUCUGACCCUGGAACUUCCAAAGGCAGGUGUUUUUCUCUUUCAAAUAAUUUAAAAAUUGAACCACAACGUCUCCACCACGUUAUUUUCUUACAUUAAAUCUCUUUAAUGUUUGCAGCGUUUGCAGGAAGCUCCAAUGUGAGUCUGGGAAUUAUAUUAUUUCUUUCCUCAGAGAGUUCACAAUUAAACAGGUCUAUGUACCAGAUUCCUUCUAAGAAAUCUCAAAUGUCUUUGGCAAGAGGAAAUCACUGUGGAGUCUGAAUGGAUCAAGGAGAACAGAAGAUUCCACAAUCUCUCUGUUCAAGAUGUUUGACAGCUAGUGAAUAUAAUUCUUAACUAAACUGGAUCAAGGCCUUCUAUGUGGGAAUUACUAAAACCUGCAAAGAACAGUUACAGACACCUGAAGCUGCUGGAUAUCUGAGCACAAUGUCAGCGUGUUCAUUGGUCCUGUAUUGCCGAAGUUUUCUCUUCCAGUUUCCACUGAGCAUAGCAGCCACUUAAGGGCAGAAUUCAGUUCUGCUGCAUUGUCUGCGACAGAAGAACAACAGCAUACAGAUAGGAGACUAAGCAUGCAACACUACUGGAACACAAGAAUGUAGAAAAAAUUUUAAUAAAUAAGGAAUAUACAAGGACUGCUCAGGAAAUAAUGCCUCCUGUUUUAUAAUAUUGGCCUAUGAUAUUAGAGGCAGAUGGUGGUGGUAUGACAAUAGAGAUUAAACCUUCCCACCAAUACUCCUUUACAUGUUGUUG